rnacentral:rRNA from 1 species
AACGAACGCUGGCGGCAUGCCUAACACAUGCAAGUCGAACGAGACCUUCGGGUCUAGUGGCGCACGGGUGCGUAACGCGUGGGAACCUGCCCUUAGGUUCGGAAUAACUCACCGAAAGAGGUGCUAAUACCGGAGAAUGUCUUCGGACCAAAGAUUUAUUGCCCUUGGAUGGGCCCGCGUUGGAUUAGCUGGUUGGUAGGGUAAAAGCCUAUCAAGGCCACGAUCCAUAGAUGGUCUGGGAGGAUGAUCAGGCACACUUGGACUGGGAAACGGCCCAGACUCCUACGGGAGGCAGGAAGGGGGGAUAUUGGACCAUGGGCCAAAGGCUGAUCCAGCCAUGCCGCGGGAGUUAUGAAGGGCUUAGGGUUUGAAAGCCCUUUUUCCCGGGAAGAUAAUGACAGUACCGGGAGAAUAAGCCCCGGCUAACUCCGUG